UAGAGAGGAAGGUGUACCAGGGUUUUGGGUUCAUAUUCCUCCUGAGACCCUAGUUCCACAUUCUGGAGC
ensembl:miRNA